rnacentral:rRNA from 1 species
UACGGGGGGAGCAAGCGUUGUUCGGAUUUACUGGGCGUAAAGGGCGCGUAGGCGGCCACCGCAAGUCGACUGUGAAAUCUCCGGGCUUAUCCCGGAAAGGUCAGCCGAUACUGCGGGGCUAGAGUGCAGAAGGGGCAACUGGAAUUCUCGGUGUAGCGGUGAAAUGCGUAGAUAUCGAGAGGAACACCUGCGGCGAAGGCGGGUUGCUGGGCUGACACUGACGCUGAGGCGCGAAAGCUAGGGUAGCAAACGGG